GUGAAGGACCAGCUGCAGGCUCAUCCGCUGUUGGGGGAUCCAAGCAGAGUUUUGCUGCUUGCAUGUCAUGGUUCCAUGGCCAGUGCAGAGCAGAAAUUGAUUUUUGAUAAGCCAGAGGAUGGAAUCAGGAAAAUUGUGUUAGCUACCAACAUGGCUGAAACAAGUAUCACCAUAAAUGACGUGGUUUUUGUGGUCGACUGUGGAAAGGCAAAAGAGACAUCUUAUGAUGCAAUUAACAACACUCCCUGUUUGCUUCCUUCUUGGAUUUCAAAAGCUUCCGCUCGGCAAAGAAAAGGAAGAGCUGGCCGUGUUCAGCCUGGCGAGUGUUAUCAUCUAUAUCCCAGAUGUGUAUAUGAAGCUUUUGCAGACUAUCAACUGCCAGAGCUUCUGAGAACACCUUUACAGUCCCUAUGCCUGCAGAUUAAAAGCUUACAACUUGGAAGUAUUUCAGACUUUCUAUCCAAGGCAAUCCAGUCGCCAGAACCACUAUCUGUUCAGAAUGCUAUUGAGUAUUUGAAGACAAUAGGGGCUCUAGAUGAGGAUGAAAAUCUGACAGUACUUGGACACAACCUAUCAAUGCUUCCAGUUGAGCCAAAACUGGGGAAAAUGAUAAUAUUAGGUGUAGUAUUCAACUGCCUGGAUCCAGUUCUGACAGUUGUUGCUGGUUUAAGUGCUAGAGAUCCAUUUUUAAUGCCA
rnacentral:misc_RNA from 1 species